ensembl:snRNA U2 U2 spliceosomal RNA
AUUGCUUCUUGGCCUCUUGGCUAAGAUCAAGAGUAGCAUUUGCUUUAGUAGUUUUCUGCUAUGGUCUGAAUCUGUACCUUCCUCCUCCCAAAUGUACCUUUUGAAAUCCUAAUCCCUU